rfam:Schistosoma mattheei strain Denwood, Zambia genome assembly, scaffold: SMTD_scaffold0023673
GCGCUACUGAAGAGUCCCAUACUAGGACGAAACGGCCGUCCAGUGC